UACAGAGGGUGCGAGCGUUAAUCGGAAUUACUGGGCGUAAAGCGUGCGUAGACGGCUAUCUAAGUCGGGUGUGAAAGCCCCGGGCUCAACCUGGGAAUUGCAUUCGAGACUGAAUAGCUAGGGUACGGUAGGAGGGAAGCGGGAAUUUCCGGUGUAGCGGUGAAAUGCGUAGAUAUCGGAAGGAACAUCAGUGGCGAAAAGCGGGCUUCCUG
rnacentral:rRNA from 1 species